AAUUAAUGAGCUUGUUAUUAAGCAUUUGUUUUGAAAACAUAAGAAAGAAUAAUUAUUCUAUUAAUUU
rnacentral:tRNA from 1 species